rnacentral:sRNA from 1 species
AUGGAGAGAGGUAAGGAAAGAGAUGGCCGUGAGGGGUGGUAGGGCAAGGGACCAAUGAUGGGGUGCCUGGGCUGAGGCUGUGAAGGGAGAUUGGUCUGUGGAGAACAGAGUCCCUGAUUGCUGGCUGUAUGAUUGGCUCUGGCAUCUUCAUGUCACCACAGGAGGUCUUGGUCCACAUGGGUAAUCCUGGGGCCAGUCUUAUGGGUGGGCUGUGGCUUCCUGGCCAUGCUGGGCACCCUGUGCUAUGCUGAGCUGGGUGCCUUGUUCCUGAAUCUGGGGCAAGUAUACCUACAUCUUAUGAAACUUUGGCUCCUUGCCAGCCUUCCUGGUCAUCUUCACAUAUUUGCUGGUGGCCAGACCAGCUACCAUUGCUUCUGUUUCUCUGAGCUUUGCUGAGCAUGCAAUGGUUCCCUUUUACCCUGGCUGUGCCUCACUGCCCCCUGCUGUGCUCAAGAAUGUGGCUGUCACCAGCAUCCUCCUGCUGAUGGUGGCUAACUGCUGGAGCUUGAAGCUGGCCACCAUGCUGACAAAUGUGUGCAUGGCUACCAAAGUAUUCUCAUUGCUGGUCAUCCUUGGAGCGGGGGUGGUGUUGGGCCAGGGCCACAUAUGCACGGAAGCCCUUCUGUCUGCCUUCCACCACAUGAUGCAGCAGGCGGGGCACAUUGGCAUGGCCUUCUAGCCUUCUACCAGGGCCUGUGGUCUUUUCUGUGGUCCUUCGGUGGCUGGAAUAGCAUCAACUAUGUGAUGGAGGAGAUCCAGAAUCCACAGCAGAACCUGGUGUGGGCACUAGUGAUGGCCAUCCCCCUGGUCACCAGCCUGUAUAUCCUGGUCAACCUCAGUUACCUGCUAGUGCUAUCACCCAGUGAGACCCUCUCUGCUGACUCUAUGGCUGUAAACUGGGGGUGGGUUCUGGGCCUGGCUGGUGCCCUUGGCUGUUGCAGUCUCAAUAUUUGGUUCCAUCAGUGAGAUGUUCUUCAGCGGAAAUCGUUUGUGCUACGUGGCUGCAAGAGAGGGCCACAUGCUGAAUUCUGUCCAUGGCUCAUAUUUAUCAUCCCACACCAACUCCAGCCCUGAUGUUCACCAUGGCCGUGGCUUUGGUCCUGGGCAUUCCAGGAAGUUUCAGUACCACCAUGAACUUCAGGUUCCCACCUUCAUUCCCGCCAUCACACUCCUGGCUUAUCUCUACUGGUGCUGGCGCCCGUCAUCAACCAUCCCCAGACAGAGUUCCUAUACAUCUUCCUCUUCCUGCUCAGUGGCUUCCUGGUGUACUUCCCACUUGUCCACUUCCAGUGCCAGCCCAGGUGUUUGCAGCUGGCCGCUCUACAUCUCUAGAUGCUCCUGGAAGUUGCUCCAGACACUAAA